rnacentral:tRNA from 1 species
AUUACUUUGGCAGAUUAGUGCAGUAAAUUUAGAAUUUAUUUAUAUAAAUUUAUAUUUAUAAGUAAUA